rnacentral:lncRNA from 1 species
AAGUCCAGACGAAGUUUGGAGUAGAGUCGUUCGUGGCCGGAAGAAGUCUGGAAGAAAUUUGAAGAAUAGUCGAUCACCAUAGAAAAUUAGCUGAUAGCGGAGUUCAGAGGGCGUUUGGAGUAGUCCGAUAGAUGAAUGAGGAAGCUUGUUGUCGGAGAAGUUCGGAUGGUAUUAUGGAAGCUCGGACGGUCGAGGAAGUUCAGAAAGAUGCCACACAAGGUCGGAAGCCGGAAAAUCCCUGGAAGGGUCGGCCUUUUACAAACUUCGGCUGGGGGUAUUUUAUACCCAACACUAGUCUUCCUACUUUCGAGUUCGGGUUUCG